rnacentral:piRNA from 1 species
UUGUCGUCUCGAUGCUGUAGC